rnacentral:lncRNA from 1 species
AUAAUAAUAAUAAUAAUAAUAAUAAUACGAAAGUAAAAGAAAAGGUCCGUGGUCAAAGCAAAAGUAAUGAAAUAAAUGGAAUAGUAAACAAUAAAAAUAAUAUACGUACUACAUAUAGUGUCACCAAUAACGAAGUUACAAUAACCACGAAUACUAGCAUAAGUAACAUUAGUAACGUUAGUGUAGAUAGUAACAAUAAAGAGUCAAGUACACAUUCGAGUGUUAAAAAUGUUCAAAGUGUACAGGGAAGUACUGCUAGUAGCACUGCGACGGAUAAUAAUCCAACACUUGGAGGAAUAAAAAAAAAAAUUGGAAAAAAUAAAAUGGAGUAUAACUGGUAAAAGAAAAAUCGAUAAGUUAGUAGAUAUAAUGAAAGGAGAAAAACAAAAUGUUAAUUUACAAGUUAAAAGUGAAAAUUCUCAAAAAAAAAAAAGAAAAUAAAAAUAAUGAUAACAAUGCAACUAAUAAUAGUAAUAAAAAAACAGGAUGGAACUUAAAUAAAAUGGAAAGUAAUAAAAACACCAGCUCACGUGAUUUUCCUGAUUUAACCACAGGAGUUAAACAUAACACAUCCAAAAGCGUAAAUAAAAACGUGCAAAAUAAAACUAGUACUUAUAAAAAUAGUGCUACUGCUACUAAUACUAACAAUAAUAAUAAUAAUAACACACCGGGUAUCGAAGUUAAAAAUGCAGCACAAACUAACAAUUUAAACAAUACUGUAAAAACCAAAAAUGAUACAUCAAUUAGUAAUAAUAAUGUAAAUAAUAAUAAAAAGAAAAAUGAAAAAAACAAUAUGCAAAAAUGGAAAAAUGAAAAUGCAGACACUCACUUUAAUGAUAACAUGAAUAAACAAUUCCCACCUAUUUUGAUUACUCAAAAAAAUAAUGAUGAGAGUAACAAGAAGAAAACUAAUAAUCCAUCUGAUCAACAUGCAAAAGAUUUAAAACAGCUAACAAAAUCUUGUAAAUUGCCCCUAGAUGAAUCUCUUUUGAAUUUCUUAAAAAAUUUCAAGAAAGCAGACGAAAUUUAUGCAUUCCUUCAACAUAGCGUUAAAGAUAAGGAUAAGCUGAACACAUUUGCUAAUGAAUUUAUUAAAUUAAAUAAUAAAAAUAAUUCAAAUGUUAAUCAACCAAAGAAUAAGAAAGGUUUGUAACAAGUGAUAAAAAAUUAUUACAAGUUAUUAUAUACCUAACUAAUUAGCUUGCUUAUCAGCCUAUGUUUUUUUAUUUUAAUUUUAAAAAUAUAUAUACAGUCUAUUUAUUAAGAAUAAUUUAACACGCAUAUGUUAGUUAAUUUAUAGUGUUUUAUGGUUUUUUCUUGUAUAUCAUGUUUGCUUUUUUUUUCUUCUUUAUGUAUUAUAUAUAUACAUAUAUAUACACAAAUUAUUUAUGUAUACAUAUAAGUGAAAAUACUAUAAGUACAUAUAUACAUGUAUAUAUAUAUACAUGUAUAUAUAUAUAUAUAUAUAUAUUAACAAAUAAAAACUAAGAAAUAAUAAUUUUAAUAAAGCA